GGUUGAUCCUGCCAGUAGUCAUAUGCUUGUCUAAAAGAUUAAGCCAUGCACGUCUAUGUAUAAAUGUAUUUUAUACAUGAAACUGCGCAUAGCUCAUUAAACCAGUUAUAGUUUAUUUGAUGUUGACUUACUAAUUGGAUAACCGUAGUAAUUCUAGAGCUAAUACAUGCCAAAAAGGCCCGACCGUAUGGAAGGGUUGUAUUUAUUAGAUAAAAAACCAAUCUCGCAAGAGUUUGUGGUGAUUCAUAAUAACUGUUCGAAUCGCAUGCCGCAAGGUGGCGAUAGAUCAUUCA
rnacentral:rRNA from 1 species